UGCGGGCUCAUACUACUACUUAGACGAUUGAUUGAUCGGUGAGAGAGAGAGAGAGAGAGAGAGAGAGAGAGAUAGAUGGAUCUUAUGCGUAUGCAUAAAUACUUAAAUUUACAGUUUAUUGGGGAAGUGUACUACUAUAGUUUAAGACUGAAACAGCCCCUUUGAUUAUUCUGAGACUUUAGUCUUUAAGUGUUAAAAGGAUUGAUGGCGACUUGUAGAGUUCCAAUUAUAUCUUUGUCGUAUUGUUCUGUGUUUGUUUUAGUCAACUCGUUUCUUUGACUUCUGAACCAGAAGUAAAAUCAGCUCACAAUGAAUCACUGUCGGCUGUAAACAAUUACAUAUCUUCUCCACAGAAUCUAUUCCUUUAAUCUA
rnacentral:lncRNA from 1 species